rnacentral:rRNA from 1 species
CCUACGGGUGGCAGCAGUGAGGAAUAUUGGUCAAUGGCCGGGAGGCUGAACCAGCCAAGUCGCGUGAGGGAAGAAGGCCCUACGGGUUGUAAACCUCUUUUGUCAGGGAGCAAGGUGCAGGUCGGGACCUGCUGUGAGAGUACCUGAAGAAAAAGCAUCGGCUAACUCCGUGCCAGCAGCCGCGGUAAUACGGAGGAUGCGAGCGUUAUCCGGAUUUAUUGGGUUUAAAGGGUGCGUAGGUUGUUUUUUAAGUCAGCGGUGAAAGUUUGUGGCUCAACCAUAAAAUUGCCGUUGAAACUGGAAGACUUGAGUGUGUUUGAGGUAGGCGGAAUGCGUGGUGUAGCGGUGAAAUGCAUAGAUAUCACGCAGAACUCCGAUUGCGAAGGCAGCUUACUAAGCCAUAACUGACACUGAAGCACGAAAGCGUGGGGAUCAAACAGGAUUAGAUACCCGAGUAGUC